AGCGGAGGAUCAUUCCGUGCUGGUGGCUGAUGGGGAAGGAGCGGCGCGGCUCCGCGGUGGGGCUGGGGCGCGCCGUGCUCCCCCUCUCACCGCUCUCCCCCCCGCCGCUCUGCCGGAUCCUGGGGGAGGCGCCGAGGGGCGGGGAGCGGAGCUUCCAGCCGGAGCCGCCCGGGGAAGGGGCGAGCAGCCAGGAGGGAGGGAAAGGCGAGCUGCUGAAACGAGGUGCUAAAAACGUCCUGGCAGGGCUCGAUGUUUGCACCAGGUCUGGCCUGUUGUUGCGGUGCAGCAUGCAGAGGGUGUGUAUCUUACCCACAUCAUCUGGACGAGGUGCAAUGGGCAGCUCAGUGGGAGUGAGAGCUGGCAGAGAGAUGGAACUGGAUCCAGUGUAAGGUGUGAACGAAGGUGGCCCCUAGGUUGAACUAGGCUGAAGUUUCACCAAGGAUGUCUCAGUCUGGAAUGUGGUUCAACGGCACAGGUGUCACUGACUGGAAAUGCUGUGCACUGACAAACCUACGGAGUCCUGUCUUGUCAGAGUCCUUAACAGAAUGGAGCAGCAGUGAUGGUCUGAGCUCAGCUCACUGUGAUGAGAAGUGGUCGUGAGGACCUGUGGUCAGUCUCCUGUUGGAAGAUGAAGAUACUCUGUUUUUAUCUGUACGUCCUGUUUUUUAAUGUUCGAGUACAAAGAAGUUGAUGUUCCAAGUGACACGUCUCAGACUUGAUCCAGAAUGGAAUUUGGAGUGAAGAGCUCUUGAAGCACUGGGACAGAAGAGUGGGAAGGAUUGUUCUGCUGGACCCAGGCUCCAUUCUCAUGUAAAUGGCCAGACCAAGAGAGGAAAAGCUUUCACUGGAGAGCGAGGGGAAUUUUGAAAUACUAACCACAAAAUGUUAUUUUCUGUCACUAAUGUGCAUCAUCAAAAGUCACUUUUCUAGCUCUUGACAAAUGCAAUUUGCAUUUAAAAUGGAAGUGGAUUGCCAAAAGUCUUACAUCAGCCUCACAUCAAAGACUGCAGAAUUUCCUAGAAUUCAGGGACUCUGCCACUUUCAGUCAGAGCAAUCUGUUUCACUGCACAGUCCCAACAUCUGCAUGAGCAGCUCAUAACGUUUCACCUGUGCAGUAGAAAUAAUCUUUUGGUCUUAUUUAAGAGAACAUUUAGCUUCCUUCCUAGCUGUUCUAAGUGUAAACCAUAAAUGCAUACACAUGCAGUGUUCCUAAUUUCAGCCUUCCUUAUCCUCUUCAAAGUUUCCAGAUCUUGCUCUAUUUCAACCCUUUAUUUACUUGUGAUUUCGUUUCUGUCAUUUCCAUCUCCUGUUCUUAAUAACGUGCCUCCCUCAGGUUGUUUGGCAUCUCUCAGCAACGGUGUUUGCGGCUUGAUUCAAGAGAGAGAUUAACGAGGGAAUCGUGAUUUCCUGCAUCCAAAGGUAGCAGAAGGAUGUUAGCUAAUUUAUGAAAACAUUCUGUAAUCAUUCCUCAUUGUUGUCCCCGUUGACUGAUGAUAUGAGUUCUACAGGCUUAAAUUCGGGCUCAGGAUGAGUCCUAAAAUAACACUGCAGUGUUUCUCCUUGUGCAGCAAGAGUCUCUGUGCUCAUCCCAAGUGCCUGCUGACUGCAACCUGAGUGACAGUAAGUAGUGCAGUUCUGUGACUCAUGUGUCCAACUUGUAUAUAUGUACACUGGGGCUCAGCCCUAAUAAAGUCACCUUAUAUGAAAGUUGUAUUGCAUAUUGUCUUUGUCAUAGGUGGCUGUUUAUGGAAUGACAGUCACAUGGUGCUUUUGAAAACGCCAUUAAAUGUUAAGAUUCUCAGCUUGCUUGAA